rnacentral:SRP_RNA from 2 species
CCGUGCUAGACGGGGAGGCAGCGGUGCCCUGUACCCGCAAACCGCUACAGCGGGGUCGAACUCCUGCCCGAGGAGUUGGCUUGUGGGGUCCGGCGCCUGUAAGGGGUGUAGACGAUUGGGUCUCGCGCGACGGGGCUUCCUGAACCGUGUCAGGUCCUGGCGGAAGCAGCACUAAGGGAAAUCCCCCGGGUGCCGCGAGGGCGCCUGAUCUGAGCUGCCUGCGGGUGUAUCGCCCGGAAGCUGAUAUUCGACGGCAGGUGCACGG